CCUACGGGAGGCAGCAGUGGGGAAUAUUGCACAAUGGGGGAAACCCUGAUGCAGCGACGCCGCGUGAGCGAUGAAGUAUUUCGGUAUGUAAAGCUCUAUCAGCAGGGAAGAAAAUGACGGUACCUGACUACGAAGCCCCGGCUACCUACGUGCCAGCAGCCGCGGUAAUACGUAGGGGGCAAGCGUGAUCCGGAUUGACUGGGUGUACAGGGAGCGUAGACGGCGGUGCAAGCCAGAUGUGAAAGACCCGGGCUCAACCCUGGUACUGCAUUUGAAACUGUUAUGCUAGAGUGUUGGAGAGGUAGGCGGAAUGCCUAGUGUAGCGGUGAAAUGCGUAGAUAUUAAGAGGAACUCCAGUGGCGAAGGCGGCCUGCUGGACGAUGACUGACGUUGAGGCUCGAAAGCGUGGGUAGCAAACAGGAUUAGAUACCCCUGUAGUC
rnacentral:rRNA from 1 species